UGUACAGGUGGAUGUCAGGCUGGCUGGUCUGGGGACAACUGUCAAAUUCCAGAUGAAUGUGAAGCCGGUUACUAUGGAUCUCAAUGCACUGAUAAAUGUCAUUGCUUGAAUGAUGAACUAUGUGAUAAAGAUACUGGAGAGUGCCCUGCGCAGAAGUGUGCUCUAGGAUACAAAGUACGCAGUGGCCAGGUCGAAUGUCAAGAGUGUGAAGGGGGUACCUUUGGUUUGGAUUGUCUUCAGCAAUGUCAUUGUGCUCCAGAAGCUUGUGAGAAGCAGAGAGGUCUGUGCAAUGGACAAUGCCUUGAUAGCUGGAU